AUAUAUAUAUAUAUAUAUUAUUGUUCUUUUUUGAGCAAACGAUAUUAUAUAAUUAAGGGGAAGUUGAGCUCUUACAUGACGGCUUGGGUUCAAAUCCUGUCGUAGCUAAUCUAACAAAAUCUAUCGUUUAACAAGAAAAAAAAGGGGAGGGGUAUGAUGUGGUUCAAAUUCGUCUUUGGCGAGAAUCGAACCUAAAACCUAUCACUUACAAGUGAAGAGGAAUACAACUAUAUCAUAAUAAUGAGUGGCUCUAGGUUAAGAAUAUUAACAAAGAGAGCAUUCUAGAAUUUAGAGGUUGGGGUGUGAUAUCCACAUACCUUUUUUUUUACUUUUCACACACCCUUCUAAUUUUCGGCCGUUGGAUCGGGUGAAUUGAAGAAAAUCAAAGGGCAGAAAUUAACAAAAGAUGUGUGUGGAUAACACACCCAUAGAGGUUAUGGUGUUUCAAACAAGUUCAGUUGAUAAUCUUCUCACAUGAUUGACAAAUGACAAAGAAUGCAUUCUAGAAUUUGCCGCACGGCCAACUAGAAGACCCUAAAUUAUACGUGCCAAGAGCUACAUAGACCUUAUUCGGAAUGGGUACAUAAGUACAAUGUAUGACGUUUUAUGCUAAUAAUACAAUGUUGACAUGUGUAGGUUUCUCUUUACAAGACAAUUUAUCAUUGCAAUAAGAUGCUAUAGUGAUAGUAUAUUUGUGUCAUGUAAGUUACUCUCAUAAAAUAAAUAUUGUGGAGCCAAAAAUAAUUCUAGAAAUUCAAAAGACGACACGUGUACUUUAUUCCGAAGAAGACAAGAUUGCCCUCAUUAAAUUGGGAGGGGCAAACAAAUACUCGCACGUGCAACUUCGCGGGAAGUUCAAGCAGCUAACUACGACUGCUUAAACCUCUCUUGGGGGAAGUCACCAGUAUUAAAUAUAGGGUUAAUUACUAAAUCUUAUUUUUAAUACAUUCUCAAUCGAAGAUCAACUCAAUUAAGUAAGGAAUCCCUACAUAUCACAAUCAAUUAGGGAUGUUUCCACCAUUAUCCCAAGAUAGUUUCUCCUAAUUAAUAUAUUGGGAAUAUUUUUUUUCCUCAUUCAUCCAACGGAUGAGAAACGUUUCUUUCAUAUGAAGAAACUCGCCAGUUAUUCCUUCUAUAUUUGUGAUAGAGUGCAUCUUCACACGAAAGGAUCAUUCUGUUCUUGUCAUGUGAAAAUAUGUGUUUCUCGGAUUUGCAUAGUAAUUUUGUGCACAGAAUCUUAUGGCUUCAGUUUUUUCCAGGUGAGCAGGUUGUGUAACUUGAUUUUGUUAUUAUUCUUUUUGUAAACACGAUAUUCUCAUUCGGUUGCUACGAUUAUCAGUGUGGCCGGAAUACUACUUGUCCCAAAC
rnacentral:lncRNA from 1 species